CUGCAGCGGGAGCUGGAUGAGGCCACUGAGAGCAAUGAGGCCAUGGGCCGUGAGGUGAAUGCCCUCAAGAGCAAACUCAGAGGGCCCCCCCCACAAGAAACUUCGCAGUGAGCCACCAGGAGAGGAAACGAGGCUUCAUUUGUUCCUUCCAGAAGGGCUGGAGGCCGUAGAGUUAUUGAAAACACAGAUGGUUCUGAAGAAGAAAUGGAUGCUCGGGACUCAGACUUCAAUGGAACCAAAGCCAGUGAAUAAAUUCAGUUGGACACUAUGUCAGGGAAAACAAAAUACCAAAUGACAGCAAAGCCCAGCAGGCUGAUUAGCAUUUGUCUCCAUUCGUUCUCAAGUCAUAGACAUUACCCCACCUCUCACCAGGAGUCAACCACAGCCCUGCACAAAGGAUGUGAAUUUAAGUUUUUAAAUGUGCUACCAGAGAAAAUCCAGAUAGAUGCAGGUCGGGAGCUGCAGUCGCCAGUGCCUUUGUUUACAUGAAAUGGAACGUUACGUGAAUGGGUGCCCCAGCCCGCAACCCGCUCCCAACCAUCAACUGCCUGACCUUCCAGUUUGGGAGGAAAACCUGUUUGAAAAUUCCCCUCCCUUUCCUGCCUGCACACCUCAGACACACAGUUCACUAAGACCAAGUGACUUUUUCAGUCAUCUGAAUUAAGGAAGAGCAGAGCGAGCGCACCGCCUUAUUUGCACCCACGGACACUUUCACGAAUAAAAGGUUUUAAGUCACGAG
rnacentral:lncRNA from 1 species